rnacentral:rRNA from 1 species
CCUACGGUAGGCUGCAGUGGGGCAUAUUGGGCAAUGGGCGCAAGCCUGACCCAGCAACGCCGCGGGAAGGAAGAAGGCGUUCGGGUUGUAAACUUCUUUUGUCAGGGACGAAGCAAGUGACGGUACCUGACGAAUAAGCCACGGCGAACUACGUGGCAGCAGCCGCGGUAAUACGGAGGUGGCAAGCGUUAUCCGGAUUUACGGGGUGUAAAGGGCGUGUAGGCGGGACUGCAAUUCAGAUGUGAAAACCACGGGCUCAACCUGUGGCCUGCAUUUGAAACUGUAGUUCUUGAGUACUGGAGAGGCAGACGGAAUUCCUAGUGUAGCGGUGAAAUGCGUAGAUAUUAGGAGGAACACCAGUGGCGAAGGCGGUCUGCUGGACAGCAACUGACGCUGAGGCGCGAAAGCGUGGGGAGCAAACAGGAUUAGAUACCCCAGUAGUC